rnacentral:rRNA from 1 species
UACGAAGGGGGCUAGCGUUGCUCGGAAUCACUGGGCGUAAAGCGCACGUAGGCGGAUUGCUAAGUCAGGGGUGAAAUCCUGGAGCUCAACUCCAGAACUGCCUUUGAUACUGGCGACCUUGAGUCCGGGAGAGGUGAGUGGAACUGCGAGUGUAGAGGUGAAAUUCGUAGAUAUUCGCAAGAACACCAGUGGCGAAGGCGGCUCACUGGCCCGGUACUGACGCUGAGGUGCGAAAGCGUGGGGAGCAACAGGGAUUAAGAAACCC